GGAGAGAUACCCAAGAGGUCCAAGGGGCUCCCCUGCUAAGGGAGUAGACUGAGAAAUUGGUGCGAGGGUUCGAAUCCCUCUCUCUCCGCCA
rnacentral:tRNA from 1 species